GGAAGAACGAAGGCUGGCGGCAUGCCUAAGACAUGCAAGUCGAACGGUAACAGGUCUUCGGAUGCUGACGAGUGGCGCACGGGUGAGUAACGCGUGGAUAUCUGCCUAUGAGUGGGGGACAACUUUCGGAAACGAAAGCUAAUACCGCAUAAUCUCUACGGAGCMAWGCAGGGGACCUUUCGGGGCCUUGUGCUUAUAGAUGAGUCCGCGUCAGAUUAGCUAGUUGGUAGGGUAAAAGCCUACCAAGGCGAUGAUCUGUAGCUGGUUUGAGAGGAUGAUCAGUCACACUGGAACUGAGACACGGUCCAGACUCCUACGGGAGGCAGCAGUGGGGAAUUUUGCACAAUGGGCGCAAGCCUGAUGCAGCGAUGCCGCGUGUGGGAAGAAGGCCUUUGGGUUGUAAACCACUUUCAAUUGGGAAGAAGGGAUGAGAAUUAAUAAUUCUCUGACUUGACGGUACCUUUAGAAGAAGCACCGGCUAAUUUCGUGCCAGCAGCCGCGGUAAUACGAAAGGUGCAAGCGUUGUUCGGAUUUACUGGGCGUAAAGAGAUCGUAGGUGGUUUGUUAAAGUUGGAAUGUGAAAUCCCGGGGCUCAACCUCGGAACUGCAUCCAAAACUGGCGGACUUGAGUUCGGGAGGGGUAAGCGGAAUUCCGUGUGUAGCAGUGAAAUGCGUAGAUAUACGGAGGAACACCUGAGGCGAAGGCGGCUUACUGGACCGAUACUGACACUGAGGAUCGAAAGCGUGGGUAGCAAACAGGAUUAGAUACCCUGGUAGUCCACGCCCUAAACGAUGUCAACUAGCCGUUGCGGGUAUCGACCCCUGCAGUGGCGCAGCUAACGCGAUAAGUUGACCGCCUGGGGAGUACGGUCGCAGAUCGU
rnacentral:rRNA from 1 species